UACGAAGGGGGCUAGCGUUGUUCGGAAUUACUGGGCGUAAAGCGCACGUAGGCGGAUCGAUCAGUCAGGGGUGAAAUCCCAGGGCUCAACCCUGGAACUGCCUUUGAUACUGUCGAUCUGGAGUAUGGAAGAGGUGAGUGGAAUUCCGAGUGUAGAGGUGAAACUCGUAGAUAUUCGGAGGAACACCAGUGGCGAAGGCGGCUCACUGGUCCAUUACUGACGCUGAGGUGCGAAAGCGUGGGGAGCAAACAGG
rnacentral:rRNA from 1 species